rnacentral:rRNA from 1 species
UGGGGAAUAUUGGACAAUGGGGGCAACCCUGAUCCAGCCAUGCCGCGUGAGUGAUGAAGGCCUUCGGGUUGUAAAGCUCUUUUGUGAGGGAAGAUGAUGACGGUACCUCAAGAAUAAGCCCCGGCUAACUUCGUGCCAGCAGCCGCGGUAAUACGAAGGGGGCUAGCGUUGUUCGGAAUUACUGGGCGUAAAGGGCGCGUAGGUGGCUUUGUAAGUCAGGAGUGAAAUCCCUGGGCUCAACCCAGGAAUUGCUCUUGAGACUACAUGGCUUGAGUACAGGAGAGGUGAGUGGAAUUCCCAGUGUAGAGGUAAAAUUCGUAGAUAUUGGGAGGAACACCAGUGGCGAAGGCGGCUCACUGGCCUGUAACUGACACUGAGGCGCGAAAGCGUGGGGAGCAAACAG